GGUUAAGCGACUAAGCGUACACGGUGGAUGCCCUGGCAGUCAGAGGCGAUGAAGGACGUGCUAAUCUGCGAAAAGCGUCGGUAAGGUGAUAUGAACCGUUACAGCCGGCGAUGUCCGAAUGGGGAAACCCAGUGCAAUUCGUUGCACUAUCGUUUGAUGAAUACAUAGUCAAACGAGGCGAACCGGGGGAACUGAAACAUCUAAGUACCCCGAGGAAAAGAAAUCAACCGAGAUUCCCCCAGUAGCGGCGAGCGAACGGGGAGCAGCCCGGAGUCUGAAUCAGCUUGUGUGUUAGUGGAAGCGUCUGGAAAGUCGCAGGGUACAGGGUGAUACUCCCGUACACUAAAACGCACAGGUUGUGAACUCGAAGAGUAGGGCGGGACACGUGGUAUCCUGUCUGAAUAUGGGGGGACCAUCCUCCAAGGCUAAAUACUCCUGACUGACCGAUAGUGAACCAGUACCGUGAGGGAAAGGCGAAAAGAACCCCGGCGAGGGGAGUGAAAAAGAACCUGAAACCGUGUACGUACAAGCAGUAGGAGCCCACUAGUUGGGUGACUGCGUACCUUUUGUAUAAUGGGUCAGCGACUUAUAUUCUGUAGCAAGGUUAACCGUAUAGGGGAGCCGCAGGGAAACCGAGUCUUAACUGGGCGUUAAGUUGCAGGGUAUAGACCCGAAACCCGGUGAUCUAGCCAUGGGCAGGUUGAAGGUUGGGUAACACUAACUGGAGGACCGAACCGACUAAUGUUGAAAAAUUAGCGGAUGACUUGUGGCUGGGGGUGAAAGGCCAAUCAAACCGGGAGAUAGCUGGUUCUCCCCGAAAGCUAUUUAGGUAGCGCCUCGUGAAUUCAUCUUCGGGGGUAGAGCACUGUUUCGGCUAGGGGGUCAUCCCGACUUACCAACCCGAUGCAAACUACGAAUACCGAAGAAUGUUAUCACGGGAGACACACGGCGGGUGCUAACGUCCGUCGUGAAGAGGGAAACAACCCAGACCGCCAGCUAAGGUCCCAAAGUCAUGGUUAAGUGGGAAACGAUGUGGGAAGGCCCAGACAGCCAGGAUGUUGGCUUAGAAGCAGCCAUCAUUUAAAGAAAGCGUAAUAGCUCACUGGUCGAGUCGGCCUGCGCGGAAGAUGUAACGGGGCUAAACCAUGCACCGAAGCUGCGGCAGCGACGCUUAUGCGUUGUUGGGUAGGGGAGCGUUCUGUAAGCCGUUGAAGGUGGCCUGUGAGGGUUGCUGGAGGUAUCAGAAGUGCGAAUGCUGACAUAAGUAACGAUAAUGCGGGUGAAAAACCCGCACGCCGGAAGACCAAGGGUUCCUGUCCAACGUUAAUCGGGGCAGGGUGAGUCGACCCCUAAGGCGAGGCCGAAAGGCGUAGUCGAUGGGAAACAGGUUAAUAUUCCUGUACUCGGUGUUACUGCGAAGGGGGACGGAGAAGGCUAUGUUGGCCGGGCGACGGUUGUCCCGGUUUAAGCAUGUAGGCGGAUGUUCCAGGUAAAUCCGGAACGUUAUUAACGCUGAGGUGUGAUGACGAGGCACUACGGUGCUGAAGUGACAAAUGCCCUGCUUCCAGGAAAAGCCUCUAAGCAUCAGGUAACAUCAAAUCGUACCCCAAACCGACACAGGUGGUCAGGUAGAGAAUACCAAGGCGCUUGAGAGAACUCGGGUGAAGGAACUAGGCAAAAUGGUGCCGUAACUUCGGGAGAAGGCACGCUGAUGGUAGGUGAAGCGACUUGCUCGUGGAGCUGAAAUCAGUCGAAGAUACCAGCUGGCUGCAACUGUUUAUUAAAAACACAGCACUGUGCAAACACGAAAGUGGACGUAUACGGUGUGACGCCUGCCCGGUGCCGGAAGGUUAAUUGAUGGGGUUAUCCGUAAGGAGAAGCUCUUGAUCGAAGCCCCGGUAAACGGCGGCCGUAACUAUAACGGUCCUAAGGUAGCGAAAUUCCUUGUCGGGUAAGUUCCGACCUGCACGAAUGGCGUAAUGAUGGCCAGGCUGUCUCCACCCGAGACUCAGUGAAAUUGAACUCGCUGUGAAGAUGCAGUGUACCCGCGGCAAGACGGAAAGACCCCGUGAACCUUUACUAUAGCUUGACACUGAACACUGGUCCUUGAUGUGUAGGAUAGGUGGGAGGCUUUGAAGUGUGGACGCCAGUCUGCAUGGAGCCAUCCUUGAAAUACCACCCUUUAAUGGCUGGUGUUCUAACGUGGGCCCGUAAUCCGGGUUGCGGACAGUGUCUGGUGGGUAGUUUGACUGGGGCGGUCUCCUCCUAAAGAGUAACGGAGGAGCACGAAGGUCAGCUAAUCCUGGUCGGACAUCAGGAGGUUAGUGCAAUGGCAUAAGCUGGCUUGACUGCGAGCGUGACGGCGCGAGCAGGUGCGAAAGCAGGUCAUAGUGAUCCGGUGGUUCUGAAUGGAAGGGCCAUCGCUCAACGGAUAAAAGGUACUCCGGGGAUAACAGGCUGAUACCGCCCAAGAGUUCAUAUCGACGGCGGUGUUUGGCACCUCGAUGUCGGCUCAUCACAUCCUGGGGCUGAAGUAGGUCCCAAGGGUAUGGCUGUUCGCCAUUUAAAGUGGUACGCGAGCUGGGUUUAGAACGUCGUGAGACAGUUCGGUCCCUAUCUGCCGUGGGCGCUGGAGAAUUGAGGGGGCUGCUCCUAGUACGAGAGGACCGGAGUGGACGCAUCACUGGUGUUCGGGUUGUCAUGCCAAUGGCAUUGCCCGGUAGCUAAAUGCGGAAGAGAUAAGUGCUGAAAGCAUCUAAGCACGAAACUUGCCCCGAGAUGAGUUCUCCCUGACUCCUUGAGAGUCCUGAAGGAACGUUGAAGACGACGACGUUGAUAGGCCGGGUGUGUAAGCGCAGCGAUGCGUUGAGCUAACCGGUACUAAUGAACCGUGAGGCUUAACCUU
rnacentral:rRNA from 1 species